GCCCUGCUCUCUGCGGCCUGUCCCUGGGGUGGGUGCGGGCGAACUAUCCCAGGGUCAGCCUCGUCGGCCUGUCGUGCAGUGUCGUAAGGCCCGCAAGUCCCCACAUCUUUCUUGCUGGGAAGUGGAGAGGAAAAUUCAGUUCUCCAAGAGUAGGAGGUGACUCUGCUUGAGAAAGAAGUUGAAGGGAGGCCGAAUACACUGUCCACCCCCACCCUAGCCUGCCCACUCCGCCUCUGUCCCAACUCAUCCACAGAGACCCAGAGCACCAGGGUCCCUGCUUGCAAAGUGUCAGGCCAAAAAGAGCUUGGCGUGAGAACGGGCCUGGGUACAGCAAAGGCGUGCUGCUACAGAAGAUGUGGGUGCAAAGCACUUCCACUUCUUUGGCUGGAGCACUUAGGGUCAGGGGAGCCAGGGGGCCAGAGAAGGGAGUGGCUCAGAGAGCUUGGGGGCCUGGGGUUGGAUCCCACCCUGCACCUUGUCCACAGGAUCUUCGCGGCGUCUCAGCCUCUCCGGAGCUCACUGUUCCCAUCUGUAAGAGGGUGUGUGUGGGACCGUUCCGGCAGGGCUAUCCUGAGGAAACAUCAGAAGCAGUUAUAAAGUUGGGCCUCCCUCCUCCCUCCCCUCGAAAUGCCACUCAGAAUCCCAGUGCCAAGGGGAGCCCCCGCCCCCUCCCCCAUGGAUUCCUGACACCCCUUCCUCUUGUCCCAUCAAAUUUGUUUUUUGGCAACUCUGAUCCCAAAACAAAUUCCUCCUCACCCUGUAAUUAAACGAAAUUGCACGUAUUAGCAAA